CAACUGUUCAACUUGUUCUUUCCAGUUCAGUACAGACUAUUCAACGCUUGCCCUGGAAGAACUGGCCCGGAAACGUUCCUCUGAACAUAUAGUAGCUUUGUCCUUCUGAAUGGGGAGUGAUUCCUGACUAAUUUCAAAGCCAAGUUUGCAGACAACUUAACUUUUACAAAGAAAACAAGACUAUUUCUAACUGCAGAUGACAAUGGGAACUUAAAGGAGUGACAGAGACCAGUAAGAAAAUAAAACCAGCUCCCUACCUAGUGUUUUCUUACAGACUGUCU
rnacentral:lncRNA from 1 species